CUGUGCGGCAGUAGUUUCACGCCUGUGGCUCAAAGGGGGAGUUUGCUACAGGCCACCACACAGCAUCACCAGCAAGACGUCCUUCAGCCAUGGCAAGUUUGCCAGAACUUGUUCACCACCUGAAGACACCUGGGAGGCUGUCCUUUAUAAGCUCAUCAAGCAUGCAGACAAGUGAGAGACCGGAUGUGUGUAUCGCCAGAGGAGCGAAAAUCGUUCCAGCGUGGGCCCCUACCACCCCAAGGACCCACAUCUAAUCCAACAACACCCUGUGGAUUGGAGGAUGGAGCAAGCACAGUACUCCAAGGCACCAGAGAGGUACUCCAGGCCACCAUGUGUAGGACUGCUACAUAGGAGCCAUAAGGAAGAAUCCUUCCAACGGCAUGACAUUGACG